rnacentral:rRNA from 1 species
AUAGAAACUAACAUCAAAAAUUAUUUUAAUUAAUAAUAAAGUAUUUCAAAGGGGUUAUUAAGGAUAAUUAGCAAAUUUAUAAAUAAGGAGGCAUUGGCCUAAUGCUACAUUAAUUAAGUGGCAAUCCUAAGGGAAACCUUUUAUAUAUUACUUCCUGAAGUAAAUCAUUUUAGUAAGGAAAGGAAAGGAAAUCAACCGAGACUCCGAAAGUAAUGGUGAGUGAAAUCGGAUUAGCCUGUGAGAUUUAAAAAAGUGAAAAAUAAGCGUAGCCCACCCCGUCUUAGCAUCGCAAGGAAAGGAGGGGAGCGCCCCAAAGAAGGUAAAAACCAUAGUCCUGUAGCUUUUAUUAAUAAUCACUUACCCAGCCCUUCCUUCGGAAGGGGUGGGGGGAUAUAACAAAGUAUAUGUUUUCCUUUUUAGAGCCCUAAUUGAUUCUAUUUUUAUUUUUUAUAUUUAACAGUAUAAGUUGUAAUUAUAGGAGAAGAUUCUUGUUCUUAAAAAAUAGGUUUAAUGUAAUUUUGUUAUAUUUUUAUUUUUAUAUUAUUUACUAUUGCCACUACGGUUUUAGGAUAUUUAAUAUAGUUAUUAAGUUAAUGUUUUUUUUUACUUAACUCAAUAAAAUUGGUUAAAUUAUUUAAUCGAUUGUAAAAAUACGAUGAGAGAUAACUUGUCGGAAUAUAGGGGAACCAUCCUCUAAGGCUAAGUAUUAUAAAUUUAGCGAUAGUGAACAGUACUGUAAAGGAACAUGUGAAAAAGUAUAAUAUAAAAUUAAUGAAAUAGAUAUUGAAUUAGUAACUCUAUAAGCAGCCGGAAUUAAAAUUAAAACAAUGACGGCGUACCUUUUGCAUAAUGGGUCAGCAAGUUAAUAGGAAUAGCAAGGUUAAAAGCCUUAGCGAAAGCGACUGAACUAAUUUAGGAGAAUAAAAUAAUUAUUUUAUAAUUUAUUUUUAAUUAGUAUUUAAUUAAAAAAAGAGUAGCCCCUUAUGUUAAAUUUUAACAAACUUUGUUUUUUUAAAUUAUUAAUGUAAGUUGUUAUUUGCUAAACUAUAGUGUUGGGUAAGUUAUUUCUAUUAGACCCGAAGCUAGAUGAUCUUUCCAGGGCCAGAUUAUUAAGGAUCGAACGGGUGAAUGUUGCAGAAUUCUCCGAUGAGCUCUGGAAAGCGGUGAAAUGCCAAUCUAAUCUAGUGCUAGCUGGUAUUCUUCGAAACAUAUGUAAGUAUGACAUCCAAUUAAAUUUAUGGAGGUACAGCACGGAAAUUCCGAACAAAUAAUAUUGUCAUUCUACAGGAUGGAAGUUUUUCCUAUUGACAGAGUGAACAAAACAAUAUUGUGCGUUUAGGUUGCGGGGAUCUAGUAAAUCUUACCAAUGGAAUUUAAACUCGGAAGUACAUAAAUUGAUGUUGGAUAUUCAGACUGCUCAUGAUAAGUUGAGUAGUCAAGACGAAAACAGUCGAGAACACGCUUUAAGGUCCCAAAUGGUUAUUAAGUGAAAUUAAGGAUGUCACAUAUUGUAUGCAGCUGUAAAGUGAGCCUGGUAGUCGCUACUUUUAAUGAUCGUUGUAACAACGCAUCAGCUCUUUAGAUUGUGGCACCGAAAAUUUAACGGGUCUAAAAUAAUCAACCGAUAUCGUGUUGAUUAAGUAAAUAAAAUUAAUCUUUCUUUGUUUACUUAAUCUAGGUAGAAGAACAUUCAGGAACGGAAGAUACACAGUGUUUCAUUGUGCUUGACGAACUGAAGAGAGAAUGCUGACAUGAGUAACGUAAAAAGAAGUUUUAAUACUUCUCGCCGAAUACGAAAGGGUUAUAAGUGAGGUUUAAACCGACUUAUGUUAAAUGCGGGUCUCUAAGGUACAGAACCAAAGUUCUGGCUGAUGAGGUAGUGAUAGUACUGUCCUAAUGGAAGAUUGGACCAAGAAAAUAAAUCACUUCUGAAGAAUUAUUAAUAGAUAUUUUAAUAAAAUUAUAUUUAAGAAGGUCACAUUUUUAAAUAAAUGGGCUGUAAAUAUUCUUAAUUUAAGUUUUAAUGUUAAUUGUUAUAUUUAGGUGAUAAGAUAACUAAUUAAACUUAAGUAAAAAGAACUACCGUACCCUAAACCGACACAGGUUCGUAAGUAGAGAAUACUAAGGCGUAGAGCUAAAAGUUGUAAAGGAACUCGGCAAGAUGUCCUCAUAAGUUUGACGAUAAGAGGAACCAAAAAAUAUAAUUUUCGGUAAAAGCCCUUCCUUGCGGAGCCUUGCUUCGCUCCCGAACAGGGGGGAAGGUUCUAUUUAUCGGUUUAUUAUUCCAACUUGGUCAUUAUUUUACAUGUUAAUUCUUUCUUGUAAUGGUUAUUUUUCAAUAAUAUUUAAAUAUUUUUAAGAACAAUAUUUUUAUUUUUUUUUUUGUUAAUUUCCGGUUUAAGAAUUAGAUUAGCCUGUCCUUUCCUUCGGAUUGGAGGGGUUGUUUAUAUUUUUAAACGCGAGAUUGUUAUUAAAUGAAUAACGGCUAUCUCUAGCCUGAAAGGGCAGGGUAAUAAUAAAGUCAGCCAUGAUAAAUUAAAGUAAAUUGGUGGCACAGAAUCGGAGGCCUCGACUGUUUACUAAAAACACAAGAAUGUGCAAUGAUAUAAAUCAUAGUAUACGUUCUGAAAUUUGCUCGAUGCCAUUAAUAUAAAAGAGGUAAUAGGUAACUGUUACUAAUUGAAAAUCUGGUUAAUAGCGGUCUUAACUAUGAGGAUCCUAAGGUAGCGAAAUCAAUUGGCCAUUAAAUGUGGUCCGGUAUCAAUAAUGUAACGAAGGUCUCACUGUCUCUACAACUUGCUCAGUGAAAUUGAAUUACCCGUGCAGAUGCGGGUUACCCCCAGUGGGACGGGAAGACCCUAUGCAGCUUUACUGUAGUUAGUUAAUACGCUGAUCUAGAACAAUUCUAAACAAUAGAGAUUAGGUAUGUCGAUAGACGCUUUUCCUUUCCCUUAAAAAGGUUAGGUUGUGGAAACCUCCAGAUUGGAAUUGGGUCAGAGUUUACCUUUGUUAUUAUUAAUACUAAUUAGAAUUAUUUUUAGAUAUAAAAUUUCUUCCCCGUCCGAAGGACGGGGUGGGUUAGUUAAAAUUAGAAACUGUAUUAGGCGGUUCUAAUAAUAGAUACCUUAAUUAGAUAAGGGAAAAACCUUAUAUAUUUAUAUAAAUAUUAUUAAUAAUAGAAUUAGGGAGAAUUGACUAAUUGGCAGUUUGACUGGGGCGGUCGUCUUUAAUAAAGUAGCAAAGUACAUCCACAGAUUUAAUAUUAACAAUUAUUACAAUAUUAUUAUUUUUAUAAUAGUGUUGCACACCAAAAAGAUUAUUAGAUGGUAUAAAAUAAUUAAUUUUUAACUCUAUUUACACUCUACUUCUAUUCUUUUUUUUAAGGAGUAGGAUAUGGAUAUAGGUAGUCCCUGGCCAUUGUUGAGCCUAGCUCCGCAAUAGGACAAGGGGGAUUAAUUGGUUUUAUAAUGAAUUUUCUAUUUACUAUUUUUAAACUUUAAACCAUCGAACAUAUAUUUAUGUAUAAAUUUUUCUUAAAGGUAUAGCUAGAAAUCGAAUGGAGAUCAAUCAACCAGUGUAAAGGUUGCGCAGAGUGUAAUGGCGGUAAGCAUACCUAACUGACAGACUUAAAAGUCGAACAGAUACGUAAGUAGGGCAUAGUGACCCCUCGCUAUAAAAUGGAAUAGACGGGGAUCAUUUGAUAAAAGUUACGCUAGGGAUAACAGGCUGAUAGCCGGCGAGAGUACACAUUGUCCCGGCUGUUUGGCACCUCGAUGUCGAUUCAUCCUAUCCUCCGGGGGAAGAAGCUUGGAAGGGUUGGGCUGUUCGCCCAUUAAAAGGGUACGUGAAUUGGGUUUAAUACGACGUGAGUCAGUAUGGUCCCUAUCUUCUGGGGGGACAAUUAGUAAAAAGGGGCAGACCUUCUAGUACGAAAGGAUCAAUAGGCUGUGUUUCUAUAGUGUACCAAUUGUUGAAAUCAAAUCUAAUAUAAAAACCAAAAUAACCAUCUUUGUUAUUUUUGGUUUGGUACCGAUCCUUAAAUGGACUCGGGGUUAGUUUAUUUAUAUGUUUUUUAUGUGUAAAUAAACUAUUAUAUUUUAUUUGGUGUGGUAAUUAUUCUAUUUUCAUAGAUUAAUAUGUAUAAACAUUGUAUUAAUAUUAUUUACCUUAAAAUAUAGUAUCGCUUUACCUUUCGAAAGGAAGUACUAGAUAUUUAUAUAUAUAAUUUGGCACAGUUGGGUAGCCACAAACAUGGUAGAUAAGUGCUGAAAGUAUAUCAAGCAAGAAUCUACCCCCUAGAUACUAACGAUUAUUUCAUUUUUUUAUUAUAUUUAAAUAAUCAAUAAGAUAAGAAAUAGAACAUUUCUUAGAUAGGAUGCAAAUGAAAGCUGCUGAAAAGCAUUUAGUUUAGCAUUACUAAUUGGUCACAAGACUUUAUGUUAAGAUAUUCACACAAC